UCAGACGCAAGGCUCGAUGCCCGUUGAGGCAGUGCAUGGCCUUUCCUAGAGGAAUUGAUAGGGGAUCGAGCCCCGUUUGAAGGCCAGAAUGCCAGAUUCCAAGCGAUGUGAGGCUUCUUGCUACCCAUCCUGCCUCUCUUGCCAUGGCCGCCCGAGGGAAGGCGAGGGAAGGCAGGACGGCGUGGCGGGAAGGGCUGCUCCUCCCCCAUUUGGGAAGACAGGGGCGAGGGGUUCCGUGGGGGCCACAUCGGCACUGCCAAGCGGAUGGACCUUCCGGGGAAGAAGGGCAGAAAAGGACCAUGCCUCCCCUUCUGGCGGCCAUCUUGGGAGAGGCAAGGAAGUGCCUCACGCUCGGGCAGGGAGGGAGGGAAGUGACGACACAGGUGCCAGCUUGGUCGUGUCAGAAAGUGCGAACCUCCGUAGGAAAUGGGUACUGGGGAAAAUAGACAAAAAGCCGUAAUAAGGAUCAGAUCUUCCUUUGGCCAGCGUGCCCAAGAAACGGACACCAUCGAAAUCAUCUGUUUGCCAUCUCAAGGAUGAUCACUGAGAGAUAAUUUCCCGUGUGAAAUUUCCAGUGUGAAAAUACAGAAAAGAACACAGGAUAGACGGUCAGCAUCAGAAGUCCCCAAGAAGAGUCUCACAUGAAGGCUACAUUACUUGGUUGCAGCUAGGGUUUAUUGCUCCAGGAUUCUGAAAACAAUGAAUGUGCAGUCGAUAUCCCACAGCAUUCGUCAGAAAAAUUGUGAACAUCAGAUAGCGAUCGACAACGUGUUCUCUGCUGGAAAUUGAGAGCGAAAGACUGAUCCAUGCAAAGGAGAUGCUGGCGGUCCUGUCAUUCGUGGGGCCAAUGCCAGGAUGGAGCUGCAUGGGACUAUAAGCUGGGCUGCUGGCUGUGCUGAGGAGAAACCAGGAGUCUACAAGGGGGCGCAAAGUACCUCCCACUGAUCGGAUAACACAUGAACGGAGCCCAUUUUGGGAGCCACUGCCCUCCUAAACAAACACUGGCAGUUUGUUUGCAGCGUAUUUGCAGACUAGUGGAAAUUGAGCACAAUAAUGUCAUGGUGUGAAUCCUGUUUUGGAGCUGAUUUUUCCUCAGCGGUUAUUUUUCAGUUUCCCAUCCAGAUUGUGUAACGAAUGUUAUUUUGUGUGAGGUAGAAAUCUUCAACCAUCACUAUGAACCAAGCUUGUCUCACUGAAAAACAGGACAAUCUCUAGACCCCUGCAAGUCCCUUGGGCUGCAAGAUCAAACCAGUGCCUUAGAGGAGAUCCACCCCGACUGCUCUUUAGAAGGCCAGAUACUUAAGAUCAAACUCAUACUUCAUCUACCAAAUGAGAAGAAAGGACUCGCUGGAGAAGACCCUAAUGCUGGGAGCAACUGACGGCAAAAGAAGAAGGGGGCGGCAGAGAAUGAGGUGGCUAGAUGGAGUCAUUGUCUUAAGCAUACGAUUUUUCUAUGCGUGGAUGGUAUAAAGUGCUUGUCAGAGCAGUGCAGGUAACACUGACAUUAAAUUGAAAACGCAUGAAGUUCA